UGGGGGAUAUUGCACAAUGGGCGAAAGCCUGAUGCAGCGACGCCGCGUGGGGGAUGAAGGCCUUCGGGUUGUAAACUUCUUUUGCUCUGAACAAGGCGCACCAUGGGGUGUGUUGAGUGUAGGGGUUGAUUAGCGCCGGCUAACUACGUGCCAGCAGCCGCGGUAAUACGUAGGGCGCGAGAGUUGUCCGGAAUUAUUGGGCGUAAAGGGCUUGUAGGUGGCUGGUUGCGUCUGUCGUGAAAGCUCAUGGCUUAACUGUGGGUUUGCGGUGGGUACGGGCUGGCUUGAGUGCAGUAGGGGAGGCUGGAAUUCCUGGUGUAGCGGUGGAAUGCGCAGAUAUCAGGAGGAAUACCGGUGGCGAAGGCGGGUCUCUGGGCUGUUACUGACACUGAGGAGCGAAAGCAUGGGGAGCGAACAGG
rnacentral:rRNA from 1 species